GAAAACGUUGAAGCAGCCGUCAAAAUCGUUGUCAAAGCUCGUCGAAGCCACCGUUGUUGAACUUAUGAACAAAAGUCACCACCACAACCAUAUGCUACACUCUCCGAAAGUAAUGUGUAAGUGUGGCGAUGGAAAUAUCUUCACCGUUGAACUUAUGAACAAACGUGGUCGUCGUCGCCACCGCCGUAUGCUACAGUCUCCGAAAGUAAUGAGUAAGUGUGGUGAUGGUUUGGUUAAUGAGUGUGGCAAAAGAAGAUAAAAAAAAUUAUUUUUGUUUUACUAAGUUGCUUUGUUUUUUUAACUAUUAUUAAAUCCAAAACAAUGUCAUUAUAAUUUAAAAAAACAUUAUUUUUUUAUUAUUAUUAAAUACAAAACGACGUAGUUAUAUGAAGGGGAUAAAUCCACCCUGACAAUCUCCAGUUUAUCUUUAUUUUUGUAAAAAGUAUUUUAAAUUAUUUUCAAGUUUUUAAAUUUUGAUGCAUUCACUCAAUCAACUAUAAAUAUAUCGAUUCACAAUUAUUAUCCAUUUGUAUAUAUUUCCGAAUUAAUAAUUCACAUCACGUAACCCAAUUAAAACACGCAACCCAGUCUUUUACUAGUGUGAAGAACAUAAACACAGAAUUGCAGAGCAAAACAUAUUAUAUCAUUACCUUUAAUCUAAUAGUAAUGCUUAUAUGUGGCAUUAGCAACCUUAUGAAAAAGGUCAGAUUUGAGUAUCCUUCUGUUUUAAAUUGUACCAGAGGUUGUUUUGUUAUUGAAUGCCCCUAGCUUUCUUUAGGUCGCCAGCAGAAGAUCUCACAGAUCAUAAGGACAUCAUCUCUCUAAGAAGAUCCUUUAUAUGUUGUAUCCAGUAAAGGGUCUGUACAUGUAGACACUUUAACGUCAAUUUACAGGCAACAAAACAAAACAAAAAAUUAUUUUGAAUAGCAGAAACGAAAUAUACUGAACAAAACAAAAAUUUGAGUAGGCACCUGGUUCAGAAAAGUGAAGACUACAAAUUCAAAUUAAUUUGUAAUUGCGGAUAUACCUGCAUUUCUAGGUAUUAACCAAUUUAAAUCAUAUACUCAUUUAAUCCAACUACAUAGUAAAGUGGCCUAAUUCUUAUGUAUUCAAAUAGCACUGAUAUUUUCUACUUUACAAGAAACUGGUUGAUUUCAUAAAGACAAGAAAUUUUGUACUGCACAACUAUUCUUCAUUAAUAAUAUAGAAAUUAUAAAUUAUUAGAAUUGAAAAGAUAAAUAACAUUAUUUGUUGAGCUAUAACAGCUAAAGAUAAAUAACAUUGUUGGUUGAGCUAUAACAGCCAAUAAAAAAAUAUGGAUUAAAUUAAACACAACUGCGAAAGAGCUUAUAUUCAGCUAAGCUGACAAUAUACACAGCAUUAGCUGCAAACAUAAACUUAAAAAACAAAUGGAAUAAAAGGUACUUGAAGAGAUAAUACCAACAUUCAGAACUACAAAGCGUGCAUAAAGUUGCUUGUUCAAAUCAGCUUCUGAAAUACUGUUUCCACAAGCCUUUUUGAUAAUGAAGUCAAAGCUUGAAUAGCCCCGCAGUGACCAGAGCAAAUCACACUUCGCAUUUUAAAGGAGGACCAAAUCAAUAUGCAUCUUUUCAAAUAAGUCCUUUCCACAAGCCUUUUGAUUAAAACUUUAUUAGUUCAACAGUAGUCACAGUAAAAUAGUCACAAACAUAGUGAAGAGCUAGAAUGACCUCAAUGAAGAUCCGGAUAUCUUUCCAAAAAAAAUAGUGCAUUGAUCUAAAAUGGAUAGCUUAGUAAGCUUUUGAUUUGUCUGAGAUGAGAUUCUAUAUCAAUAUCAUGGCUACAUGCUAGCAUUACGAAAAAUUGACAGUUAAAAAUCACGUGUCUACUAAGGUAUAAAAAAUAGUGCAUUGAUCUAAAAUGGAUAGCUUAGUAAGCUUUUGAUUUGUCUGAGAUGAGAUUCUAUAUCAAUAUCAUGGCUACAUGCUAGCAUUACGAAAAAUUGACAGUUAAAAAUCACGUGUCUACUAAGGUAUGAUGCAAGGUUAGCAGAGUGUAUCACCCAAUUAUUUCAAAAUCAGUUAUAGACAAACAAAAACAAAAACAAAAUGAAUAUACUCUGAAUAAAAUCAGAAAUUAAAGCAUUACGCUAUCUCAAAGCACUCAAUUAAAGUUCAAAAGGGAUCUUCGUGAACCAAAAACACACACAAUAGAGUCAAGUAGGAUUUAAAUCAAGAGAGGCACAUUGUGAAUGUGUGAUAAACUGAGUACCAAAGGAGAGUGAGGGCGGGGUACUCGGUGACAGACCCAAUAGAAGAGUGGAGGACACAACAAAAAGACAGCAAAACCCUGAAGAAACAUUGUGGAUCGUGAAGUAUACAAGGGUUUUACAGGAUUUUACCGGUUACAAGACAGGACAUAAUGGCAGAAUUGACAACCCUAGUAUAAACACAUAAUGUAACAUCCUGGCAUAACUUGCUUUUCAACUGGUGGGAUAGAGUAUUCAUUUC
rnacentral:lncRNA from 1 species